GUGGGGAAUCUUCCGCAAUGGACGAAAGUCUGACGGAGCAACGCCGCGUGAGUGAUGACGGCCUUCGGGUUGUAAAGCUCUGUGAUCGGGGACGAAUGGCUGGUAUGCUAAUACCAUAUCAGAGUGACGGUACCCGAAUAGCAAGCCACGGCUAACUACGUGCCAGCAGCCGCGGUAAUACGUAGGUGGCAAGCGUUGUCCGGAAGUAUUGGGCGUACAGCGCGCGCAGGCGGCUUCUUAAGUCCUUCUUAAAAGUGCGGGGCUUAAAACCGUGAUGGGAUGGAAACUGGGAGGCUGGAGUAUCGGAAAGGAAAGUAGAAUUACUAGUGUAGCGGUGAUAUGCGUAGAGAUUAGGAAGAACACCAGUGGCGAAGGCGACUUUCUGGGCGACAACUGACGCUGAGGCGCGAAAGCGUGGGGAGCAAACAGGAUUAGAAACCCUUGUAGUCC
rnacentral:rRNA from 1 species